AAAACUGUUCAAAACAAAAAAAAAAUCUGUUCUUAUCAGUUUAAUAUCUGAUAUGUACCCUGUCUGGGGACUGCAUAUUAAAUGGAUUUUUGGAUCAUGGAGCUGGAUCCAACGAUUCUGAUGACAUAAGGCACGUGGCUCUGCGACAAACCAUUUGGGAGUUAUGAGCGAUGCCGUACUUUCCGUCGCUGCAGAGCCACCUUCA
rnacentral:snRNA from 1 species